UACGUAGGGCGCGAGCGUUAUCCGGAAUUACUGGGCGUAAAGCGUGCGCAGGCGGUUUUUCAAGUCCGGUGUGAAAGCCCCGGGCUCAACCUGGGAAUGGCAGUGGAAACUAGGGGACUGGAAUCUGGCAGAGGGGGGUGGAAUUCCGCGUGUAGCAGUGAAAUGCGUAGAGAUGCGGCGGAACACCGAUGGCGAAGGCAGCCCCCUGGGCUGAGAUUGACGCUCAGGCACGAAAGCGUGGGGAGCAAACAGG
rnacentral:rRNA from 1 species